UUUUUUUUUAUCUUAAAACGAAUAUCAGAUAUAUUGGACGCUAACAGGUGAAGAUAGCUGAUCAGUCUAUCAACACCGGACGGCUCUAGUCGGCCAUCACGAAAUAAUGUUCCGGAACCUAAAGACUAGCUAGGUCUUUAGACGCUGGACUAGGUGGUUUCACAGUGUACACAACCACACUAGCCUCUUACGCCACCAUGCUGGGCCGUUACCGAAUAACGGACCUCUUACGCAGCUCCAAAAGAAUAUCUGAUCCAUUUCCAGUUUCCAAUUUGAUUUGUAUCCAUCCCAUUUUCAAAACCAUUACAUGAUAUUCAUGAAUCAAUACCAUGUCUCAAAGAAUUAUAUCACAGGUUUAGCAAUGAUAAUCACUAAACAUUUUCAGAAUUUGAAUUUCAUCCGGGAUAGAUAUUCACAAGUUACUAUUCCCCUAAAACAAUUUAAAAGAUAUUAAAAUCCAUAGAAACUGGGGAAUACGUACUUAAAACAUUUAAUAUUUGAAUCAUUUGAUAAAGACAUGCAUUCUUGCUCUACAUUAUCCAUAUAUGUAAUCUGAACCAUCAAGAGUAUGAUCAGGGGUACUUGCAAUAUAUCAACAAAGUUCCAGAGUACUUGUAAUAUAUCUAAAAGAAGGUUUCAAGAUACUUGCAUAGUAGGAUUUGAAGAAAGUAUCACUUGAAUGAUAAGUGAGGAUAGGGAUACUUGUACUUUCAAAUAUAUAAGACAGAAAUGGAAUACUUGCCUUUGGUCCUUAGCUUAUACACUCUUAGCUAACAUCCUUAUCUUAUUCUGCUUUCUCAAGACAUCACCAUCAACUAUUCCUGAUUCUUUGCUAUGUCGCUCAUGCGGUUGCUGCAGCCUGAUACGAAAUCUUAUCUAACUUUAAUCUUGAUCCCCAACGUCUGGUUCUAUUUGUCUCGAACAAUCUGUAACUACUGAACCGCUAUACAACUCUCACCUUUUCCUGCCUUUGCUUGGUAGCACGCUCUCAAUGCUCGAUCCUAUUAUAAGCAAAAAGAUACUAUUUUAGUAUCCUUCCGAAACGAGUAUCCUAUUUCUACCCUUUCGUGAUAUAUAUACAUGGCACAUUGUAUAGCACAUAACAAGUAGCACACGUUAUAGUUUUAUAACUUACAACCAACUCAGAAUAUUAUUUAACACGAGAACGCGUAACUUAAGUUAAUAUUUCUACAGAAAAUUCGGCAUGACCUAUUCGUAAAUAGGACUAUCCCCCUGUUUUCAAAUCAAUCAAAUCAAGCUCUUUAAACUAAAUAAAAUACUAAUAUAAAGAAAAUCUGCCUCGACAUGCAGUAAAUCACAUAAGAAAAGUACCCGCCCCGACAUGCGGCACCUAGCACAUAAUGAUAAAUAAUCCGCCCAGACAUGCGGCACCUAAACACAUAAUGAUUGAAAGAAACUAACAGCUUAUCUUUAAAACGGAAAGUAAUUCAAUAUUAAUACAUUAUACUAUCAAGAAUAACACUUUAACAUUUAACACGUAGCACUUAGCAGGUAUCACAUAUUUCCAUACAUUUACUUACCACUUACCAUAAUACUCAAUUUGGGAUACUCUUCAAUUCAAAUAUUCAAAUAUAUACAAGUUGAAUUAAAUAAGCAUAGCGUUAUAACUAUUUAAGAUAUCGCAUAUUUAUAUUAUUAAUAUUAUUAUUUACUAUCAUUAUUACUAGUGAAAGUAAUAAUAAUAAUAAAGAAUAAUACUAAUAUUUAUUAAUAUUCGACAUCUUAAAAAUUACCAAGUAAACACAGUUUCACACAUUAACAUCAAUAAUAAUACUAUGUAGUACUGCUAUUACUACCAAAUCACAUAAAUAUUAUUUAUAGAUUUUAUAGAAAUAUCACAAAUCAGUAACUAUGUAAAUUCGAUUAAUAGUCCGAUAAUUAUAGGAUACGCUCCCGUAUAAUUUUAAAAUCUAAAUUUUAUUUAAAAAAUCGGGCAGCACCUCCUCUAUUUAUCGGACUACCAGUCGAUAUCAUAUCGACACAACAAAUCCCAACAAAACCUGUAAUCAAUCCAAAUAACUUACUUUAUAACUACUAUCCAACAAUCAAUACUCAACCCAACGAACCAACAACCGAAAUAAUAACCAAAAGAGUGUCAAAAUCAGUUUUAUGACUCGAGCCACACAACAAUUUACACAGCCACGUAUAAUCAAUUAACAAACUCGGCCCCACACCAAAAACAUAUACACGCAGCACACGCACACGACUCACAUCAGUGCCUACUCGGUCAACACACACAGUUGACCCACACACCCGAAAACAUAUACACGCUGGUAUACACACACAGACCAGAUUAUACACACACCAAUCGCACACAUAUACAUACAAUAUACAGUAGCCCCAAAACAGAAGAAAACUAGCAGGAAAAGGGGAGAAAAAUAGGAGAGAAACCGGAGGAAGAGGGAGAGAUUGAAGCCGGUGGUGCCCGGGGUCGGAGCAGCGCGGCGACUGGAAGCAGGGGCGGCCGGAAAACGAGGAACCAGCGGCGACUGGGGCGGUAAAUGGCGGCGUCGGAAAGUGAGAGUGGAGAGAGAUCGAGUAAGAGGAGAUUGUGCGAGGGAGAGGAAAUCCGAGAGAGAGAUUACGGGAGAGAGAUUUCAGAGAGAGAGAAGAGCGAGAGAUUGAGAGAGAUGAGGUGAGGUGGAGAGAUUAACAAUAAAAAAAAAAUAAAAGUUUUAUAUACUGAAAGUGUAGGAACCAGACACGUAUCGUAGUUUAGUUAAAAACAUAACGCGUGUCCCCUUCUGGCUAGCCUGGUUCCGAACAAAUUAACGAACAACUCACAGAUAAAAUGAUCCAGAUAAAUACCGAAAGAGUUUUAAAAAUCUUAAAAUAUUUAAAAACUAAUAAAAUAUGAUUUUCAUGAUUUUUAGAUCAUUUUUGAAAUAAAUAGAAAGACCCCACUUGAAUCUAUACGGAAAAUCAUUUAGAGCUGAAGAAUUAUCAAAAUAUUGUUUUAUGAAUUUUAUAAAUCUCUAAAAAUAUUUAAUGAAAUCAUAAAGCGAUAAAAAAAAUGAUUUUAUAUGCAAUACACCAUUUUAUAUAAUUAAAUCAGUAUAAAAUCCAUAACAAAUGCAAAUCGAUAACACAGCUCAACAAUCCAAUAGAAAUAAAAUACACUGACUCUCGAUAAUAUAAUCACAUAAUAAUCAUUUAGAAUUUUUCAAAAUAAUAUAUGAAACUCAAUUUUGAAGAAACAAUUAUAUACCAAUAACACAAUAACCCGGAGUUUAAAUAUAACAUUUUGAAAAUUGAAAUGGAAUAAAAUAUUAAAUCUCAUUCCCUUCCUUUAGAAAAUCACUUUCAUGAUAAUAAAUAGAUUUUAAAAAUUCAGGUCAUUACAAUCUACCCUCCUUAUAAGGAUUCCGUCCUCGGAAUCAAAGAAAGAAGGAGGACACGUAAUCUACUAAUCCACGAAACAUAUAUAGACCAUCACACAAUAUUCAAUUAAAGACAACCAUAAUAUAUAAACAAAUUAGACCUAUAAUAAUCAUAUCUGAAUUAAAAAUCUAGGAUAUUACAUUCAACCCCCCUUAUAAGGAUUCUGUCCUCAGAAUCCGCGAAGAGAACUAAAACAUACACGCUUCGCAAUAUCGUAUCGUCAUCCACUAUUGAUUAACCUUGGCAUACCCUCAACUUUAAGGGUAUAGGAAUCUUAAAAUUUUCGCAAAUGCAGAAUUAACUUUCCGGAAUAAUUCUUUGAGAAUUUGGCCAUAAAACAAAAAUGUUUUCAAAAUAGGUUUCAUCUGAAUAAACGAGUGACUGAGAGAUCAAUAUGAUCCAACGAACUUAGUGUUGCGUGCCCAUAUUAGACACUACUAAAGGUUAUCAGCCUUCUUGUAAUCACAACACACACAAGUGAUGGCGUCCCAUCAAACUUCUAUCACACAGACAGAUAGUCCUUGUGUCCCCUAUAGUAGGGUUGUUCAUCUCAGUUAGAGUGGAAAAUAUGAAAAUUUUAAAAUCAACCAACAAUGAUUGACUUUUAAGAAAUGAAUCUUUAAUAUGAACCUUAAGAGUUGAAAUCGAAUAGCUUCCAAAGAUACAAAUUUUUGACAAAGGGACUUCAUGAAUGUCUUUAUAGAAGAGAUAUUAAAACAAUUCACUAACUGUGAAAAUGCUCAAUAAAAUCAAUAUUGAGGAUGGUAUUGCCAAGGCUAUCACAUAUGUCUUCUCGAUCGAUUUUUCUGAUAACUCGUUUCGAUUCUACGAUAUAUAUUAUUAACUUAUAUUCACCUUCGUAGAUCCCGUCACCCAUAUCCACGUUAGGUAGAACACCUGUCGAGCUUGGUACUUUCAGAAGUCAUAUCCAACUUUGCACAAUCAGCAGUGUAGAGCAUUGAGGUUGUAACCUACUCAUAAUACUAUAUCGAGUAGUCUACCACUCUUUCUAUAUAAUUUUCAAAUAAAGAACUAUACACCUGGCCUCUCACAAUGAUCCAUCAAAUCUCAUAUUCCUUCUAUAUGACUUCAUAAGAAUAAUAGAUGACCCUCGAACAAAUACUCAAAAAGUGGUAGAGAUGACAAGGAACACUCAAGACUAGAUAGGUCAAUACACAAGUCUAGCUGCCUCUGGUUACUCAGAAAGUCAAACUCAAGUUCAAAAAGAUUGAAAACUAAAGGUUCCAUCAUGUCCCUGAAAUCCAACUCACUAGUUCUCGAAUUAGAAACUAGGAUAUCCCAAAUGAUUACUUGAAAUCAAUGCUCCAAUAUCUACCUCAAUUCUAUCAACAAAGACUAUACCAAAUAGUCUUGACUUAUCUCUAGUUGAGGUCCCACUAAACACAAUCCUAAUACAACCUACAUUCUGAUUUCAAUAACUUAUAACCUGUAGCUCUGAUACCAACUGUGACAGCCCGCAAAUCCGGGGGUCUGGAUUUGGUGCCACUAAAAGAAAAACAAUUUAAAAUCUGUAAUUUUUUUUUUUUUUUUUUUUUUUUGAAAGAAAGUAAUAACAAACAUUUCAAAACCCUGAGGUUUUUUUUUUUUUUCUUUUCUAUAUAAGGUUUUGAAGAAAGACACUUUUGAACCUUUUAAAACACUUUUGAAAAACUAUAUUUCUGAAAACCAAAUAAUUUAAAACCUGAAAGCAUUAAUAAAAGGUUUAAAAGGAAACACUUUAACCCCCUAAAAACAGGAUCGCAUCCAGGUUACAGUAUUGAAAUCAGAAAACAAACAACCUGAUCUCUGAUGUACUUAACCACUUAGAAUCCUUGCAGCUUAGCAUCACUCUCAUACGCAGCCUAAUCUGAUAAUCCAUCUCUAGCCUUAGCUGAAAGGUUUAGAAUUGAAAAGCAAGAAUGAGCUAAAAUACUCAGCAAGUUCUAGUAGUAAAACAGUUGUAUGAAGAUAGUUUGCAAGGGUAAGUUAUCAAAUGCUCGGCAGUACCAAUAGGAAUAAACAAGAUAUAUGAUCGUAAAAUUGUUUAUAAGAGCAAGAGUAUAGCAAUCAUGCAUGCUUUGAGUAUAAAGCAGUCACCAUCAUUUGAUAUAAGAAAACUGGAAAUCAACUUUUAUUAGCAUGCUCAAAAAUGUGAUAAUCAUAAGUUUUAGUUUCAAAAUUUUAUCACUAGCAUGCUAUAAUACAUUUUUUUAUCUUAAAACGAAUAUCAGAUAUAUUGGACGCUAACAGGUGAAGAUAGCUGAUCAGUCUAUCAACACCGGACGGCUCUAGUCGGCCAUCACGAAAUAAUGUUCCGGAACCUAAAGACUAGCUAGGUCUUUAGACGCUGGACUAGGUGGUUUCACAGUGUACACAACCACACUAGCCUCUUACGCCACCAUGCUGGGCCGUUACCGAAUAACGGACCUCUUACGCAGCUCCAAAAGAAUAUCUGAUCCAUUUCCAGUUUCCAAUUUGAUUUGUAUCCAUCCCAUUUUCAAAACCAUUACAUGAUAUUCAUGAAUCAAUACCAUGUCUCAAAGAAUUAUAUCACAGGUUUAGCAAUGAUAAUCACUAAACAUUUUCAGAAUUUGAAUUUCAUCCGGGAUAGAUAUUCACAAGUUACUAUUCCCCUAAAACAAUUUAAAAGAUAUUAAAAUCCAUAGAAACUGGGGAAUACGUACUUAAAACAUUUAAUAUUUGAAUCAUUUGAUAAAGACAUGCAUUCUUGCUCUACAUUAUCCAUAUAUGUAAUCUGAACCAUCAAGAGUAUGAUCAGGGGUACUUGCAAUAUAUCAACAAAGUUCCAGAGUACUUGUAAUAUAUCUAAAAGAAG
rnacentral:lncRNA from 1 species